rnacentral:rRNA from 1 species
CUACGGGUGGCACCAGUGAGGAAUAUUGCGCAAUGGGCGAAAGCCUGACGCAGCGACGCCGCGUGGGUGAUGAAGGCCUUCGGGUCGUAAAGCCUUGUGGGAGAGGGACGAACAACCUGCGGGAAUAAUACCCCGCAGGCCUGACGGUACCUCUUCAGAAAGCACCGGCUAACUCCGUGCCAGCAGCCGCGGUAAUACGGAGGGUGCUAACGUUGUUUGGAAUUACUGGGCGUAAAGCGCGUGUAGGCGGCUUGGCAAGUCAGAGGUGAAAGCCCGCGGCUCAACCGAGGAAGUGCAUUUGAAACUGCCAGGAUAGAGUACGGGAGAGGGUUGUAGAAUUCCCGGUGUAGAGGUGAAAUUCGUAGAUAUCGGGAGGAAUACCGGUGGCGAAGGCGGCAACCUGGACCGAUACUGACGCUGAGACGCGAAAGCGUGGGGAGCAAACAGGAUUAGAUACCCUAGUAGUC